rnacentral:rRNA from 1 species
AUGCAUGGUCGGAGAGGAGCUACCACUUGCGAGGGACGCACCAUCGAUGCAAUGUCAAGUUUCAGAGUGAUCUGCGUGCUCUACCAUGAAUUCACAGGGAUAUCUGGUAACAUUGGCACAGCCAAGGCCUUUGUCUUCGAAGAGCGCCGGAUGGGGAAGCGUGGCUGGUUCGUCUGGCAGCAAGUGACGCACAAGCCUCAAAUCCACCUUCAUGGCAUGGAAUCUCUGCAUUUCAUUGGUCGUCCAUCAUUUUCUCUUUUCUGGUCCAUGGAAGAUGACCAUUCCUCCUUGCUAGCCUAUAAUUUCCGGUGGCCAAACGAGUUUGAGAUCGUCCCACUUCCGGGCCACAUCCGAGGGUCAGCUUUGCGAGUCAUGGAUAUCAACAACACCAACUUGGUGCAUGUUGUUUGCUUGCAGGGCGACAACCUUAGCAUCUUUGCGCAAAGGACAUACCAUAGCACCGAUUGGGUGCUUCGGAAGAGCCUCCAAUUAAUGGAGGCUACUCGUGAACUGGCAGGGCACAAGGAUGAGCACUUUCGUGGGUCUACCAAGAUCGUCUCAACCAGCAUGAGCUCUAUUGUGUUUUCUCCGGCGGAGGAGACAUGGCUAUUCUCCAUUGACUUUGAGACCAUGGAGGUGGCGAAAUGCAAAUACAAGGCGCAUUCUUCUACAUGUGUGGCUUAUCCGUGUGAGCUUCCAUGGCUACCUGCCCUUCGUGCUUGUAUUGUGCGUUGUUCAAGAAGGGGGCGUGGCCGAUGUUCCGAUAUUUGUAUAUGUUGA